rnacentral:lncRNA from 1 species
UGCUUGGCGAGCGGGGCUCACGUAGGGAAAAAGCACCAGCGAACACAGGGUGUUGGUCAUGGCGGCGAGGGGCACUGCGGCAGAAUUUUUUCCUCUUCUUUGCUGCAACCUGGGUGCGGCUAGAGCAAUUUGUCAUAGAAUCUGGGGGGCUCAUUUUUCCGGCCAAUCACUUUUGGAGAAAUGAGCGCAUUGCAGCAGAAUGCGCUGACGUCAGAGACCACCCCUUCUGCGCCUCCAUAUAAACCCCACCCAGCCAGCCCCUAGCGCAGACGGCGGAGAGCUGGGAUGGAGCGCGCCUUGGCCCGCUGGCCGUGGCUGCAGCUCCUCGGGAGAACCGGGGCGCCCACGCGAGAAUCUCCCCACCUGGGCCUCUCUUCAGGGAUGACAUCAUCCGUUCGCCUUGUCUUCAAGGACCACCUCUCCAUGCCAAGCUGUUGCCAAGCUGCUUGCGGCUCGUCUCCACCUCAUGAGGACACUAGGAGCACCGAUUCCUGGAUCCCCCCAGCAUACAAAGCAGCCGCUGGCAGAGACCCCCAGGACCAGGACGACGAGGGAUGAAGAGGACCAGGACUGACAAGCCAGCUGUCCCUCUUGGCUAAAGGCUUAAACCAGUGCCCUAGUGAGGGGGCACUGGCUGCUAACCCCUGAUCUUUGCUACGCUUGUGCUUGGUCUCUGUGAAUACUUUCCCAUAAGUCUCUGCUGUGUUAAUGUGCCGGCGACCUGGAGUGCUUCCCUCAGGGUGGCGUCAGUCUUUCUCCACUGACCCUGCUGUUGCCCUUAUGAUAUCCUGAAUGGAAAGAUCCCUUUGGGAACUCCUCAGGAGGGGGACCUAGGCCAGAGGCUCCUCUAGCAUCUCACUGGCGAUUCCAAGGCCCAGGGUGGGCUUGUGGAAUGAGCAUGAGCCCUCAUGUCAUGCUACUGAACUGCCAAAGGCAUGCUCCCCUCUUUCGAGAUCCCCCGUCCUUUCUGGGCAAUGGGGAUGAGAAGUGCAACCUCCUAGGGUUGUUGUGAGUAUUAAAUGAGAGAAAGCAGCCUUGGGCAGGGCUGGGCAUAGAGGAUGCGGUCAGCAAAUGUUUGUUGAAAAAAUUUGGCAGGUCAAUCCAUUCCUACCUCUCUCACUUGUCGUACUUGUUCUCCCACAGCACUCCGGACAGCCCCUGUCCCCCAGGCUCUCCUUGCAUCAGGUAGGGGCUCCACCAGAGGGUCCUGGGCUGACCUGAAGGAAUACGAAUUAUGCAUGCGGUCAUUUCCAGAGCACUUUCUAUGUAGAUGAAUGUUCUUUCUAUGUCAUAGGAGUAUGUGUAUGAGGUGGCCUCAUUUACAGAUGAGAAUGAAUUUGUCAUUGAUUUGAGUAAUUUUCAAAAGGCGGGUGGGGAAGAGGACCCAUGAAAGCUGAGUGCCCCUCCCAAGGGAUAGGGCUCACCCACGUUGGCAGUGAGGAUGGACGCCGAGGCUGGAGGGAUGUAAGUAUUUUGUCACAUUGCUGGCAAGAGAAGAGGUCAUAGUUGGAUCCUGGGUGCCAUUGUAGCCGCCCUGUACCCCCUAGCCCAGAGUUAUAUUAAAAGCCCUUUGACGUCCAGUCAGACAUUUGACAAAGGGACAGUCUCUUUGAAAUCCCAGCUGCCCAGGGUGGUCUUGGGGUCUGGGUGGCCCCAGAGCUGGUACCCUGUGCUGGCUCCACCUCCCAGUAACAGUGUGACCUUAAACAAGUCGCUUAACUUCUCCGAGUCUCAGUUCCUUUCAUGGUCUAAAUGGGGAUUAAAAAAAAAAAAAAAAACCUCCGCGUUUAUCUACCCCACAGGGCGCUUUUGAAGACCAAAUGAUGUAACUGCUAUGAAAGUGCUUUGUAAAUUGCUGUGGAAAUUGCGAGAUACUUAUCCCCCGGAGGCUGUCCUCCGUCCUUCACAUGCCCAGCCCUCUUCUCCCGCAGUAGUAACAGCCAGCACCCAGUAGGUGCUGUGUGUGUUUGCACUCCAUAAGUAAAUUCCAGAAGAAAUAAAAACGGAAUUAAUUCAACA